AAGUUUGUGCUUUCCAGUUCUUUCUAGCACCGUUUGUGCUUUCCAGUUCUUUCUUGCACCGCUUCGAUAAGCAGCUGCCGCCCGUUUUCGUUCAUUUUUUCCAGUGCUUUCCAGUUUCACUUUUCCAGUUGUUAUCUUCUUUUUAUCACCGCUUGCACCGACUGUUGUUAGAUUUGGAUUUAUUUUUUUCUCCGUUUUCCACCGCUUGCCGCUUUGUAUAAAUUCAGUCAUCACGUUGUUUUAACAUUCUCAAAUCAGGUUCUAAAUUUGCCUCUCAGCUCUCAACUUUCACAGAUUUGAAUAGAUCUAAUUUAUGGAAAUGUUCAGAAGCUGAAGUAUGUGAAACCUGCCAGAUCGUUUGUAAAUUUUGAAAUCAACACGAUAUUGAUGAACCUCACUUUCAAGGAGCAGCAAGCUCUAUACAUAAAGCUUGGGAAGAUCUUGCAGGAGAGGCUUGUGGGAAAGUCUUAGAUAUGCAUGACCCGUGUCUUGUUUGUUGUCCUCUUUCUCCCCUGCAUGUUAUAUGCAAGGUGGCAUGAGGACGAAAGAUAGAGGAUUAUAUUUGUAUAUGGUGCCAUACUCUUCCUUCCAUUCUCUUUGAAUUUUUUAUGUAAACUCUUUGCUGGGUUUGUUGAUGGGCCUGGAGGUUGUUAAGAAAAAGGAGUAGGGGAAAUGGAAAAGUUAAUCUUUACCCUCAUUUUCCUCAAAGGUGUUUAUAUUUUUUCCUUUAGUUAAUCUGAUUUGUUGGUUUGUUUCUUGCAAGGAAUUUGGACUUUUUGGUUUGAAGUUUAUGCUGCUUUGAGGUUUGUAUAUGUCUAUUCAUAGUUCAUAAUUCAGGAUUUUAUUUUACUUUUUUAGCUUUUUACUUUGUUUACUCCAAUGUUUGGUCGCUGAGAAAAAUAGAGGAAAAUGAAAAAAGGUAAUAUCAGUAAUGAAAGUGUGGUGUAUCUUUGUGUUUUG